rnacentral:rRNA from 1 species
AGUGAACGCUGGCGGUAGGCCUAACACAUGCAAGUCGAACGGCAGCACAGUAAGAGCUUGCUCUUACGGGUGGCGAGUGGCGGACGGGUGAGGAAUACAUCGGAAUCUACUUUUUCGUGGGGGAUAACGUAGGGAAACUUACGCUAAUACCUCAUACGACCUACGGGUGAAAGCAGGGGAUCUUCGGACCUUGCGCGAUUGAAUGAGCCGAUGUCGGAUGAGCUAGUUGGCGGGGUAAAGGCCCACCAAGGCGACGAUCCGUAGCUGGUCUGAGAGGAUGAUCAGCCACACUGGAACUGAGACACGGUCCAGACUCCUACGGGAGGCAGCAGUGGGGAAUAUUGGACAAUGGGCGAAAGCAUGAUCCAGCAAGACCGCGUGGGUGAAGAAGGCCUUCGGGUUGUAAAGCCCUUUUGUUGGGAAAGAAAAGCAGCAGGUUAAUACCACGCUGUUCUGACGGUACCCAAAGAAAAAGCACCGGCUAACUACGUG